ACCCGACCCCAAUUUUUUCCCCUUUCCAAGAGAAAUUUAGAGAACGUAACAACACGCAGCAAUUCCAAAUUCCCUUUGUCCGCUCGCCUUCAUUUUCUCCACGCGCGACAAGGUAGUAACAACAAUCGACUACACGACAUCUACAAUGGCUGGCAAGCGUAUUGGACACGAUAUUCAAGCGAUGUCCGAAUUGCGUGAAGGAGAGCGACCAAAACUACACGUGGAAAAGAAUACAAAGUAGCCCUGUGCGGUUUUGGCCUUUUCCUCAUAUGUCGUUUUAAAACCGUAUGACUUCAGCAUUCUAGAAUGGCACACAAAUUGUCCUUGAUAGCGUGGGAUCGAUCCACGUCACUUGCAAGGACAAUCGUUUUGAUCCGUUCGUCCAUUUUCCUUCAUAUUUGGCGAAAGGAUUCAGAUUUUCAAAAGUUUGUUCGUUUCAAAAUGAGAAAAGUUUUUUAGGGUUUCAAUUUGGAUUUGGACCCCCGAAUUCGGACUUUGGUUUCCCCAAUUUCAAUAAUCCUAAACCCCUCCUAUAAAUAUUCUUUUUCUUAGAAGCUUUACCGGGUGGGGAAAAUUUUUCAAAGAGUUUUGUUACAAUUUCAGGGGGAUUUUUUCCAGAGAGUUUUUUUCUUUUUCCAGAGAGAGCAAAAAUUUGAAAAAAGGGAGUUCAGAAAAGUAGCAGGAAUCAUCUGAAAUUUGAAGGAAACAUAACAAUUAUUGGAUGUAAACAUUCACAUACCCAAACAUUUAAGAAUAGAGUAAAACUUCGGAGGAAUUAGUUGGAGUUUAAGCUUUGUUCGAGUCUUUCAGUUAGUCCCUCUGCUCGUCUCCUGUCCCAGUUCGCUGCCCUGCCAAAGCUAAAUGACUCUCUGUCUUCUCUUGCUUUCUUCUUUCCGACUCUGGCGAUUGACCGAAUCAUGGAGUAGUUAUUAUUUAGUUAUGAUCUUACAUGGAGCUUGUCAGGGUCCUAUUAAUCUUAUCUACAUAUUUUCCUACUGGGCCAAAAAGGCCCAAUUCUAUUUCAUCGAGUCCUUUGGCCUUAAAAUUGACGCACAGGUUCCGCAAAAUUGGAGAAUAUGAGGCUAAUUGUAGAGUUGAAGUCUUGCGGCCAAAAUCUCAUAAUUUGUUCAUUUUAGAUUGUAUUUUGUUAUCUUUUGGUCUUAAACCAUUGUUGUCUUUCAUUUAUUGAUUUUUGUAUGAUUAGAUUAGGACAUGUACUAAUUAGAAAUGGGCUAAAAGACCAAGAUGGAAAUGGGUCAAAAUCCCAAAAAGAAAAUUGGUCUAAAUACCGGUCCAGAUGGACAGAACCGGUUUGGACCCAACUCACUCCCUUUCCCUCGUUCACUUUAUUUGCUUAUGCGUUUAGUUAUUUUGACGUUAGUUUUAGGGUCGAAAACUUUAAAUUCACGCAAGACGCUGUUAUCUUUUAAUCAUUUAAACUAAAUCAAUCGACUUCAAAUUGGAUUUAAAAAAAUAAAAUAAAAUAAAAUAUUGCAAGUCAAAAUUUCACUUAGAAAGCAAAUUAAUACUUCAUUUUUCAAACAAAUUUCAUCUCAAAAAAUUAAGUUAGACACUUUAGCUAAAAAUAAAGUUAGUUGUCUUAUAAUUGCGAGUUAGCAAAUAUUUUAGGUGCGGUAACAACCUUCCUAAAAUAUAAAUAGGAAUCCCCGAACCCCUUUAAAGUUUUCUUAAGGUUUUUUUCUGUUUAAUUCUUUUCGAAAACUAAUUUUUCUUGAUUUUUCUUUAAAAAAUUAAGUGCGACUCUAAAAAGUCAAAAAGCAUACAAAAUAUUAUUUUUCUAAAAGCUUAGUAUAAAAUACAGACAUAACUGCGUUGCUUUUCCGUUGAUUUUGACCAAAAAAGUUAUGUAGUCCGUCACUUUUAGCCAUCAUUUUUUGGCAAUUUUAUGUAGUGCAAAUAUGUUUUUUACUACUCAAUUGUGUGUGUACCACAAAUGCGUGACACAUAAUUUUAAAAAUAAUUAUAAAAUGACAUGUAUGAUUAUAAAAUGACACAUACAUAUAGUCACUACACGUCAUUUUUCCUUUUAUUAUAUUAGAUUAAUGUACCAACACUUUUCUUUCUAAUUUUUAUUUCGUUUUGCUAUAACUGUCACCAUCCACACAAUUUCACGUCAUCCCUUCUUCUCAUCUUCCUUACCUUUUUUUUUCUUCUACUUCUUCUACUCUUUCCGUUGGAGUAUAAAAUUUGGCCUGAUUUCUAAUUGUUCACAAUUUCACCGAGUUUGGAGUUGAUUUUGAAUUUUAUUAGAUUGAGGUUUUGGUGGUGACUGGUGGCCUAAGGAAGAGUGGGGUCUUUUGGGUGGUCUGAUUGUUUCUAGUUUUUCAUAAUAUCAUUGAAGCUCGAGGGUGGCGGCAUUAGAAAGGCCGAGACUUAUUGGUAGAGUUGAUUUGGGAUUUUUAUUAUUGUUGUUGGUUCUCGCUUAUAGCUGCUGGUUGAAGAUUGUCGGAGGUGGUGAGAAUGAAGGUGUUUUGGUUGGAGAAUGUGAAAAGGACAAGAGGAAGGCAGUAAGUUUGUGCUUGGUUUGGAUCUAAAUUAGGGGUCAUUGAGUAGUGGAUGACUGAAGCAUGGGUCAAUCUCGAAAACUAUUUGAGGUUCUUUUUGUUUUUGUUUGAUAUUCAACUUGUCUAGGUAGUUUUUUCAAUUUAUUUUCGAAUUUAUUUGUUUUUUAAUGUGGAUUUGAUCUUCUAUUUGUAUCUUUGUUUGAUUUUGGGUUUUAGUCGAUUACAUUGAUUUUGUUGAAA